UACGUAGGGCGCGAGCGUUGCCCGGAUUUAUUGGGCGUAAAGGGCGCGUAGGCGGCCACGCACGUCUGUUGUGAAAUCGCCCGGCUCAACUGGGCGAGGUCGGCGGAUACGGCGUGGCUGGAGCAAGCUAGGGGGCAAUGGAAUUCCCGGUGUAGUGGUGGAAUGCGUAGAUAUCGGGAGGAACACCAGUGGCGAAGGCGGUUGCCUGGAGCUUUGCUGACGCUGAGGCGCGAAAGCGUGGGGAGCGAUCCGG
rnacentral:rRNA from 1 species